rnacentral:sRNA from 1 species
AAUUCCCACCAAUUUUUUUUUCGUAACAAAUUUUUUUCUCAGCCAAAAAAUGCUUUUAAAAAUUCUUGUAAAUUUUUAUUGGCGGGAAAUAGAUUUACAAUGGAUUUUAAAAGGAUUUUAAAAUAUUUACAAGAGAUUUUAAAAGGGUUUUAAAAUAUUUACAAGAGAUUUUAAAGGGCUUUAAAAGAUUAACAAAAGUUUUUUAAAGAUUUUUAAAAGGUUUAAAAGUAUUUCAAAAGAUUUCAAGGGAUUUUAAAAGGGUUUUAAAGAUUUACAAGGGAUUUUAAAAGGUUUGAAAAAAAUUUACAAGAGUUUUUAAAGUCUUCUAAAACUCCUUGAAAAUCCCUUGUAAAUAUUUUAAAACACUUUUAAAAUCACUUGUAGAUAUUUUAAAACCCUUUUAAAACAAUUUUAAACUCUUUAAAAAUCUUCAAAAAACCUUUGUAAAUCUUUUAAAGCCCUUUAAAAUCCCUUGUAAAUCUUUUUAAAAUCCUUUUAAAAUCCCUUGUAAAUAUUUUAAAACUCUUUUAAAAUCUCUUGUAAAUCUUUUAAACCCCUUUUAAAAUCUCUUGUAAAUAUUUUAAAAGCCUUUUAAAAUCCCCUGUAAAUCUUUUAAAACCCUUUUAAAAUCCUUUGUAAGUCUAUUUUCUCGCCAAAAAUUUUUUUUUUCGGAAAUUUUUGGCGGGAAAUUUUUUCAAAAUUUUUUUUGGCGGGAAAAUUUUGGCGGGAAAUUUAUUUUGGAAUAUUUUAGGCGAAAAAUAUUAAUAUUUCAUUUUAUUAACCUUAAACAAUUUCCAAAUAGGGGUAAAAUGGUCAUUAAAAAUUUAAAGAGGGUAGAAAUGAAAAUGACUAAAGAAAAAGAGUAAAAUUGAAAAGGGACAUCAUGAAAAGGACAUUAGAAAGAAUUUUUCAAAAAAUAAACGAAAUAUGUAUUAUUCAUUCAUGUUUAAUAACCUAACAUUGCAUUAAAAAGUGGAAAAACUAAAAAUCAAAUUAUUAAUAAUAAAAUAUUUAUUUAAAAGAAAUGACAAAGGUUCAGAACUAAAAUAAGAAAU